rnacentral:rRNA from 1 species
CAACUUUCAACAACGGAUCUCUUGGCUCUCACAUCGAUGAAGAACGCAGCGAAAUGCGAUAUGUAAUGUGAAUUGCAGAAUUCAGUGAAUCAUCGAAUCUUUGAACGCAAAUUGCGCCCUUUGGUAUUCCGAAGGGCAUGCCUGUUUGAGUGUCUU